AGCUAGAUUUAUUGGAUGAAUCUUUUGAAUAACUCUUCACAACACCAUGAGGACGUCUGAAGUUAUAUUUAUUUUUAUUAUCUCAACUCUACCAUGUGUCCUCGCCCAGAUUUCUCUGUCAAUCUCGGCACCUGCUAUAGUGAAACCUUCUCAGAAUGGGAAAUUGAUUUGCCAUGUAUCUGGUGUGUUAAUCACUGAUGGAAGUAAAAUGCACGCUGUCAAUAUCGUAAGGCAGUUUUUAGGAGGCCGAUUUGAGUUUCUGGCUCAUCUUAACUAUGGUGAAGGAACAGGUUACAAUCCAUCACUACAGAGCCGACUUUCUCUGUCAAGAAACACGGCUAAGAAUGAAGUAUAUCUGGAAUUUAGAAGUUUAGGAACAGAUGACUCAGCAACAUACUACUGUACUGCUCAGAGACCCACAGUGUGCUAG